UCAAAGUAAUUUUCCAAACACAUGAAGUUUCUGGACAAAGUACCGGUAUCAGACCAAUGUCAGACCGGUAUCAGACUGGUAUCAGACCGGUAUCGGAUCGGUAUCAGACCGGUAUCGGAUCAGUAUCAGACCGGUAUCGGAUCAGUAUCGCUGAUACUGGCUUGUAUUUUACUUGGUAUCGGAUCAGAAAGAAAGCGAGUGGCAUCGUACAUCACUACUCCAGUACUCCUGCUGGCAGCACGCGGUGUGAUGGAAACCUACGAGCCUGCGUGCUCUAGCCUGGAGCUGCUCUUAAAGGGCCAGCGUCACUAAAAUACCCCACACAGUUAUCACAAUACCAGCUUUACAAUCAGAACAAAUGUGAACAGUUUACCAAACCAAGACUUGGUGGUUCACAUGUUGCAGCUGCAGAGCCGAAUGUCGCCAUGGCCAGGAAAGUGUCUCAG